rnacentral:lncRNA from 1 species
CUGGUAUGGUGACCAACUCAUUUGUGUCUUGUUGUCUUCAUUGGCAUGAUUUUUUUGUCUACCUCUUCUUGAGUCUAUUUCCACACAGAUGCACUCUCAUGUGGCACUGGAUUGUCCAAUUGACAGAUACAUUUUGAAGGCCAACUGUGUACACAAAGGCUAAAGAGCAUAUCAGCCCUGACCCUACACAGACACAGUGAGAUCAGUCAUAGGGCGUGGUGUGGCAGGGUGGAAGACAAGAAGACAGACGUGUCCUUGCAGGAUGUUGUGCAAAUAUCAGGGCUUUGGUGGUGGUACAGAUGGCAAGAAGCUGUCACUAUUCACAUCAGAGAGACCAGCGACGCUUCUCCUGGGAGGAGAACUGACAAACCUUCCCUGGUAAGGGGUGAGCCUCUCUGGGAAACCACAGAGCACAAGGCACAAUCUUGCAAUGAUCACAACUCUUAUGAUGCUCCCCAAAUCGUGCUGUCUAAGAAACCAUUUAAACUGAUGAGAAGAGAAUACAGCAUUUGACAAUGGUUGUUUUGUUUUAAGACACACGCAUUAAAAAUACAUCUGAAAUCCAGGGCACAAAGGAUCCAAACAAUGUUAUUAAAUUUCUUGUUGAAGACAGUACCACGGGACAGCCGGCUCACUCUUUAGGAAAAACUUGCCAAACUCGACUUGUUGAGAGAACGAAGCAUCUUUCCUCUGUUCCUCUCUCUUUCUCUCUUUUAUUUUCUUUCCUUUUCCUUUUUCUUUUUCUUUUUUGCAUUUCCCAC